GCGUGUGUGAUGAAGGCCCUAGGGUUGUAAAGCACUUUCAACGGUGAAGAUGAUGACGGUAGCCGUAGAAGAAGCCCCGGCUAACUUCGUGCCAGCAGCCGCGGUAAUACGAAGGGGGCGAGCGUUAUUCGGAAUUAUUGGGCGUAAAGGGCUCGCAGGCUGCUUGAACAGUUAGACGUGAAAUCCCCGGGCUUAACCUGGGAACUGCGUUUAAUACUAGCAAGCUAGAGAAAUAGAGAGGAAAGUGGAACUCCCAGUGUAGAGGUGAAAUUCGU
rnacentral:rRNA from 1 species